UACGUAGGGGGCGAGCGUUAAUCGGAAUUACUGGGCGUAAAGCGUGCGCAGGCGGCUUUGCAAGACAGAUGUGAAAUCCCCGGGCUUAACCUGGGAAUGGCCUUUGUGACUGCACGGCUAGAGUGUGUCAGAGGGAGGUAGAAUUCCACGUGUAGCAGUGAAAUGCGUAGAUAUGUGGAGGAAUACCGAUGGCGAAGGCAGCCUCCUGGGAUAACACUGACGCUCAUGCACGAAAGCGUGGGGAGCAAACAGG
rnacentral:rRNA from 1 species